GUUGAGAUGGUUCAGUGGUUAAGAGCACUGGAUUUUCUUCCAAAGAACCUAGGUUCAAAUCUCAGCAUCCACA
rnacentral:tRNA from 1 species